rnacentral:rRNA from 1 species
GACGAACGCUGGCGGCGUGCCUAAUACAUGCAAGUCGAACGCAGUGGGGACGGGUGAGUAACACGUUGGUAACCUCCCAUCAGAGGGGAUAACACUUGGAAACAGGUGCUAAACCGAUACUGAUGGAUGGACCCGCGGUGCAUUAGCUAGUUGUUGGGGUAACGGCUCACCAAGGCCACGAUGCAUAGCCGACCUGAGAGGGUGCUCGGUCACACUGUGACGGAAACACUGCCCAGACUCCUACGGGAGGCAGCAGUAGGGAAUCUUCGGCAAUGGACGAAAGUCUGAACGGGCAACGCCGCGUGAGUGAAGAAGGUUUUCGGAUCGUAAAACUCUGUUGUUAGAGAAGCGGUAUCUAACCAGAAAGCCACGGCUAACUACGUGCCAGCCGCCGCGGUAAUUC